AAUUGGAGGGCAAGUCUGGUGCCAGCAGCCGCGGUAAUUCCAGCUCCAAUAGCGUAUAUUAAAGUUGUUGCAGUUAAAAAGCUCGUAGUUGAAUUUCGGGAUCAAUAUUUCGGUCAUGCCGUUGGUAUGCACUGUUAUCAUUGAUUUCUCACCUUCUAAAGAACCGUAAUGCCAUUAAUUUGGUGUUACGGGGAAUUAGGACUGUUACCUUGAAAAAAUUAGAGUGUUUAAAGCAGGCUCACGCUUGAAUACAUUAGCAUGGAAUAAUGAAAUAGGACAUCCGAUUCUAUUUUGUUGGUUUCUAGGAUCGAUGUAAUGAUUAAUAGGGAUAGUUGGGGGCAUUAGUAUUCAAUUGUCAGAGGUGAAAUUCUUGGAUUUAUUGAAGACUAACUACUGCGAAAGCAUUUGCCAAGGAUGUUUUCAUUAAUCAAGAACGAAAGUUAGGGGAUCGAAGACGAUCAGAUACCGUCGUAGUCUUAACCAUAAACUAUGCCGGCUAGGGAUCGGAUGAUGUUAAUUUUUUAAUGACUCAUUCGGCGCCUUACGGGAAACCAAAGUGU
rnacentral:rRNA from 1 species